GUUAUUAUUUCAAGAAUGGAUUCGAAGACAGAACAAUGAAAAUCCAAUAACUGGAAAUGUAUUAGGACUACAGCUUCUGAUGGUUAUACAUUAACUGUGUGAAAACAGCCUUACUGGAAAUGCAGGUACACGUUAUCUACAAACCUGCACAAACUAUAACCAGUGCUGGUUCUAGCCUGCCCAUGCCCCUGAGCAAAAUUCAUUUUGUCCUCAAUCACUUCCUUCAUUAUAUUCACAAAUGCACUACUGUAACAGAAACGUAUUCAUCUGCUUUGCAGCUGCCUAACUGUUAAUCACCAAACAGAGAAUUCAGUAGGUAACUGGUUAUAGGGCUUGGAUGCCACUAUUAAAUGUUCAUGAUGAUAGCCAGCUUAUCGUGUAAUUAAAGUCUGUUUUAGCUGAGAAGUUAUCAUAAAUAAUGGGGCUCAUCAGCAAAUAAACAAACACACAUAUUCAAUAACACAACAGAUUCAAUAGUACAUACGUUUAACAUGUUUCUUUUGUGGGCUCUUCACACUCUGGUUUAUUUCUGAAGAGGUAAGACCACAGUCCCCCUCCUGACUUCUUUCAUCUAUGUCUUGAUAUAGUAGACAACAGACUUUAAACAAGGAUGCAAAAUAUAAAAUGACAGAAAUAUAUUUUUUAUACCUAUUAUGCUGGCUGUAAUGUUACUGUAGAUGUGGUGGAUUAAAUAAAUGCAAAUGGAAUUUUAAAAAUCCCACUAUUUUAAUCACCAUCAUCAGUGUAACACUCUACUUCUUCUUCUUCUUCGUCGUCUUCUUCUUCAGAAUUACCACUGUCUGCAUCUCCACCUAUCAAAUGCACAGAUAUAAUAAAGUUGUUCAUAUCACCACUGGAUAUUAAAGAAAGGUAACAGGCUUAAGUGAAGUGAAAUAAUGUAAAAACAAAUGAUUCGGAAUUAAAUUCUAUAGACAAGGUGUACAGGGUAUACUUGGUCUGCAACAAUGUUUUUUUUACAAUUGUAGAAACUUUCGGUGGUGUACAGGGGUCUUCGUGGGUGCUCUAGACAGUCUGCUAAACUCUAAACGCAGCCCCAUACACAGCAAGCUGUGAUACACUGUGUAUUCUGACACCUUUCUAUCAUAGCCAGCAUGAACUUUUUUCAGCAAUUUGUGCCACACUAGAUCUUCUGUGGGAUAGGACCAAGUGGACUAGCCUUCACUCCCAUGUGCAAGAGUAGGUGUCAAGGACCCUGUCCCUGGUUGUCCUUCCUUUGACCACUUUUUGUAGGUACUAACCAAUGCAUAUUGGGGAUACCCCACAAGACCUGCCGUUUUGGAGAUGCUUUGACCCAAGUGUCUAGACAUAAUUUGGCCCUAGUCAAAGUUGUUCAGAUCCUUACGCUUGCCCAUAUUUCCUGCUUCCAACACAUCAACUUUUGACUGUUCACUUGCUGCCUAAUACAUCCCACCCCUUGACAGGUGCCACUCUAACAAGACAAUCAAUGUUAUUCACUUCACCGGUGAGUGGUUUUAUUGUUAUGGUUGAUUGGUGUAUAUUCAAUAAUACACUAUUACAUUAUACCUAUUAGGUACAUUAUACCUAUUUUUUGUUUCUCAUUGGACCUCCUCAGUCUUGGGCUCUCCCCAGCAUGUGGCACGUCAUCAUUUUCAUUCUUGCCUUUGAUGCACUUCCCAUCUAAUUUGUCAAGGUCCUCUCGUUCUGCAUCAGACUGACCUCUGACUCCAGCUGUAUCUAUCAAUUAAAAUGUAUUCAAAAUCUAUUUCACUGUUUGAAAACCUCUUUCAUUUUAGUAGUGUAAUAUGUGUAGACACCCUAUAUUCAGUAAUUCAUUAUGCACAAAACACCUUUCUUAUUCGCCUUCUGUUGGUUAUGCAAUCUUGUGUCAGUGUCCUCAGGCUGCUCAGUGUCCUGUCCUACAUUAAAGAUGCAACAUGAGGUUAUUAUUUCAAGAAUGGAUUCGAAGACAGAACAAUGAAGUUUUAAUCAACUGGAUCAUUAUUUGCAAAUGAAAACACAAAAAUUGCAAUCCCACCAAAUGUUCACAACUUCAUUAAACAAAAAACGCACCAGAAGCCCGGUUCACACCAGGACAUUUUUUAGCGCAUUAAAUGGUUAGUUUUUUGACGCAUUUUUUUACGCUUAUACCCAUGCGUUAAACGCAGGCGACACGCUGAAUGACAUUGCAAAUUCACUCUCUGACUGCAGAUGGCACUUAUUGACAUGCAGAAAUAACCCGGUACACAAACUGUGACGCUGCACAUCUUCCCAUUUCUGACAGCCACUCGUCAGAAGAAGGAAGCACAACAGUAUCUGAAAUCGAAUUCACAUACCAAUCAUACAACUCUUACUAUUUCUGCUAUAUGCACAUAUGAUAGAAAUACUAUGAGUAGCCCAUAUGCUCAUGUCUCUAUAUAUGCAACCACGCCUACUGUAUAUGCCAAAUGUAAAAUAAAUACAAUAAACUAUCAAUCAAUCAGCGGAUUAUCAUUGAGCAGAGGUGUGAAAUAUUUGCAGGAAAGGACAAAAGAAACAGUGGUGUACUGCUUCCAGUGAGAUUUUGCAGUAUGCAACCGAUGCACACUACACGAGUCAAACAAUCCUAUAAUGCAACGGGACUGGUGCGGACGAGCUCAGAAAAAUAAAAAUCGUGGAAGACAGCGUUGGCUCAUUUUUAAGUAUUAAACCUUGGUUAAACAGGACUUGUUUAACAAUAUCCAAAUAAAUUGUUAACUUAUUUAAGAUUGUUGUGUUUAUGACGACAUCGAAGGUCACAUUACAAUGCUAACAUGGCGGAUGUAGUAUGUCCGGGACCGUAAUCAUAAUACACACAUACUGAUUAGUAUGUACUGUUUAAACGGCAAUGCAGUAGAUACUGUAUCGAAUUCAGUACUUACUGUCACAGUACCCGAUUUUGGACGCAGCUAUAGUUUAAACUUCAGCAGCGAAGGGCAUGUGACCAAAAGCGCGAAUCUCAUUUGUUGGAAAGUUUUUAACGCAGUGUGCCAAAAAAAAUCUAACCCCCGACGUUAAAAAUAAUUGCUUUGACGGCACAUGUAAACCGUGUGGGUGUGAACACUCCCAUUAACAGCCAUUGGGGCGUUAAACGGACCGUUUAAUGUGCUGAAAAAUCGUCCCAGUGUGAACGGGCCUUGAGGCAGUUCUUAAAUUCACUCAAAGUCAGAGGGGGAAAAAAUCUCGCUAAUCCUCAACAGAACUAGAAGAGUUUGCACAUGGUACGAUUAGCUUCCUUUAUAUGUGUAAAUAUUCUAUAUAAAAAUACACAUAACUCUUAAAUGGAAGAAUAAAAAUCAGUACAAGCUGUAAUAAAUAAAAAACCAUAAACCAGAUAUAUUCUUUUAAAUAAAUAAAUAUUAAAGACACUUGGAAAAACACCUGCUGAUUUAGACUUCAUGUAUAAUCUGAGUUUGUAUGCAUCAUACUUUCUCUAGAAAAUAGCAGAUUGUUUUAGGGGCAAUUUAGUAGACUAACAGCAACCUCUUAGUGAAGAGGGGGAACAAAUUAUAAUCUAGAUCUAAACUUAUCAUGUGCUCAACGUUUGAUCUAGUGCCUGCAAAAAAGGGUACAUGCUGAAUGAAGAAAUGACAGCAACUCAAAGUAAAAAAAUGAGUAGACGGUGUGGUGAUAGCCUAGUGAUGAUUAUGAUGAUACGAAGGAGCAAAAUGCACAGGUUACCACCAUUCAUUUUUUCAGCACUAUCCAGCUGUCUAGAAGAGGAGUCGGUCAAUUCAGGGUAAAUCUGUGUAGCUGUGCAAGUUCAUGUGUUCAUACAUUAGUAGUUUAACAGAGCUUCGUUUCGGUUUUGCCUAAACCGAACAAAACACAGGAUUGAACCGAGUUGAUGACGUCAUUGUGCGGAUGGGUUCAGGGCGAAUUCCGUUUCGGAGUGACAGCAAACCGGAAGUUACAAAGGUUUCCCGUCUUUUAAAACGAGCUGCAGUCUCGCUUAUUAGAGUUUCUCCUGAUAAUUCAGUUAUUAGAAGAAACUGCUAGUCAC
ensembl:lncRNA